AGCCAACCCUUAUUAUUUAUAAUUUAAAAUUUAGUCCUCCAAUAAAUUUUAAAUAAAAUAAUACUUAAAUAAUUAAUAAUUAUCUUAGUAACCCCCAUGAAAAGAUAUUUUAAUUAUAAAGAAAUAGUACUGUAAAGGAAAGGUGAAAUAAUUAUGAAAAAUAAAUUAAUUGAAAGUAAGCAUUUAGCUAUACCUUUUGUAUCAGGGUUUUCUUAAUCUUAUUAAAAUUAUAUAAUCCCGAAAUUUAAUAAGCUAAAAAAAUAUUUAUAUUUUAUUUUAAUAAAAAACAUUACUGUAGCAUAAGUAAAGUGAAAUAUUUUUUCAGAAAUGAAAUAUCUUCAAAUUAAAUAAUAUCUGGUUUUUCCUUAAAUGAAUUUAAUUCAGAAGUUUAGCCUACAUAAUAUAUACAUAAAUAUUAUACACCAAAUAAUUAAUUACUCAUAUUACAAAAUUAAUCUAAUAAUUAAUUUAAACUUAACUUUAUAGAAGUAGGGGGAUUAGCUCCUACUUUUUAUUAAAACACUUAAAUAAUUUGUAAUAAAUAAAUGUCUUAUAGGAAUGAAAGUGUCCUAAAAUUUAUUUUUUUAAUAAAAAUUCUUUAUUUUUGCCAAAAUUUACUAAUAAUUAAUUUAGUUUAAUUUAAUAAAGGAAAAUUAAUUUUCAUCUUUGACAAAUUAAAUAAAAUAGAAAAAUAAGUAAACAUAAAAUGUAAGCCAUUAUAUAUAUACUAAAAAUAUAUAAAAGGAACUAGGCAACCCCCAAACUCGCCUGUUUACCAAAAACAACGUUAUUUGAAUUAAAUAAAUAAUAAAAUCUGCCCAAUGAUCAAAUUUUAAAUGGCCGCGGUACCCUAACCGUGCAAAGGUAGCAUAAUCAAUAGCCAUUUAAUUGAUGGCUGGUAUGAACGAUUACACGAAGUUUAAGCUGUCUCUUAUAUAUUUAAGUUAAAAUUAACCUUAAAGUCAAAAGGCUUUAAUAAACUAAAAAGACGACAAGACCCUAUAGACCUUUACACUAAAAAGAUUAAUUAUUUUAAAUUCCAUAAGUGUUUUAUUGGGGUGAUAAGGGGUUACACAACACCUCUAAAUAUAAUCAAAUAUAAUUGACCUAAAGACCCAUAUAAGUAUGAUAUAAAGAACAAGGUACCUUAGGGAUAACAGCGUAAUUUAUUCUGAGAGCCCCCAUCGAAGAAAAAAUUUGCGACCUCGAUGUUGGAUUAAGAUAAACUAAUAGUGCAAAAGCUAUUCAAUUAAGGUCUGUUCGACCUAUAAAAUCUUACAUGAUCUGAGUUCAGACCGGCGUAAGCCAGGUCGGUUUCUAUCUUUUAAAAAUAAUAAAAAACCAGUACGAAAGGACCCUUUUUUAAAUUCUAAAUUUCUAUUCAAAUGAAUUCUAAUAAUUCUAUUAU
rnacentral:rRNA from 1 species